GUGUUGUAUGCAGAAAAAUGAUUUGAUUAUUUGUAUUUUUGAAGAAACAGAAAUCUUGGUUGUUGGAAUUCUAUGAAAAAGAUAAACUAUGUUAUAUUUGUCGUGACUUAAAUCACCAUAAAGUGACAUAGAUGGAUGACAAAAAAAAAUGGGUCCUUGAUUUUGCCAAUUACGUCAGUGAGCUACUCCUCUUUGCUGCGCAUAUGCAUAUUGGUAUGUUAGUGUUACUUUGCGAAUGUAAACGCAAGGUUUUGCAGAAUACAUUACCGUUGAUCUGGUGAGGCCCAACCAUAGCAAGAAGGGUCAAAGAAAGCCAAACAAUAGUCUUUGGUGCGUGCCUGCAAUCGUUUGGCCUACAGUUCCUGAAAUGAACAAUGGUUGGACAUAGAUUAGUCAUAACAAGCGAAGUAUGGCUGCAAUUGUCCAUGAAGCACUCCAGCUCCCUGUCACCUUGUUGAAGUGCCCGCACAAGAUCUGGACAUGCUCUCAUAUUGCCCCAGGUUAUACUGAUGGGUCAUCGUGGAGAUUAUGACUAGGCUGCCGAUGGGCAACUUCAUCGUGAACAAAGACUCUGGGACGGGGAAAUUUAGGGGACUGCUCCAGGUGUUGAUUCUGCAAGACAGCAAGCCACCUUAGUGCCAGUCACUUGCUAUGUAUUGCGAACUGUGCGGUUAAGAAAAU